rnacentral:rRNA from 1 species
UACGUAGGGGGCAAGCGUUGUCCGGAUUUAUUGGGCGUAAAGAGCGUGUAGGCGGCCAGACAGGUCAGCUGUGAAAACUCGAGGCUCAACCUCGAGACGUCGGUUGAAACCGUCUGGCUAGAGUCCGGAAGAGGAGAGUGGAAUUCCCGGUGUAGCGGUGAAAUGCGCAGAUAUCGGGAAGAACACCCGUGGCGAAGGCGGCUCUCUGGGCCGAUACUGACGCUGAGGAGCGAAAGCGUGGGGAGCGAACAGG